GACGAACGCUGGCGGCGUGCCUAAUACAUGCAAGUAGAACGCUGAAGGAGGAGCUUGCUUCUCUGGAUGAGUUGCGAACGGGUGAGUAACGCGUAGGUAACCUGCCUGGUAGCGGGGGAUAACUAUUGGAAACGAUAGCUAAUACCGCAUAAUAUUGACUAUUGCAUGAUAGUCAGUUGAAAGGUGCAACUGCACCACUACCAGAUGGACCUGCGUUGUAUUAGCUAGUUGGUGGGGUAACGGCUCACCAAGGCGACGAUACAUAGCCGACCUGAGAGGGGGGUCGGCCACACUGGGACUGAGACACGGCCCAGACUCCUACGGGAGGCGGCAGUAGGGAAUCUUCGGCAAUGGACGGAAGUCUGACCGAGCAACGCCGCGUGAGUGAAGAAGGUUUUCGGAUCGUAAAGCUCGGUUGUAAGAGAAGAACGAGUGUGAGAGUGGAAAGCUCACACUGUGACGGUAUCUUACCAGAAAGGGACGGCUAACUACGUG
rnacentral:rRNA from 1 species